AAUGAACGUUGGCGGCGUGGAUUAGGCAUGCAAGUCGAGCGCGAUAUGUAGCAAUACAUGGAGAGCGGCGAAAGGGAGAGUAAUACGUAGGUAUCUACCCUCGGGUCUGGGAUAGCAGCGGGAAACUGCUGGUAAUACCAGGUAACGUCUCCGGACCAAAGGUGUGAUUCCACCUGAGGAGGAGCCUACGGCCUAUUAGCUAGUUGGUAGGGUAACGGCCUACCAAGGCAAAGAUGGGUAUGGGGUGUGAGAGCAUGCCCCCACUCACUGGGACUGAGACACUGCCCAGACACCUACGGGUGGCUGCAGUCGAGAAUCUUCGGCAAUGGGCGAAAGCCUGACCGAGCGACGCCGCGUGCGGGAUGAAGGCCUUCGGGUUGUAAACCGCUGUCGUAGUGGAGGAAAUGUAGAAGAGUUAUCUCUUCUACUUGACUAAUACUAGGAGGAAGGACCGGCUAAUCUCGUGCCAGCCGCCGCGGUAAAAC
rnacentral:rRNA from 1 species